rnacentral:lncRNA from 1 species
UAUGCCUUGUAAAACUUCGAACCCAGAAGAUCCCAAUUAUCUGCCAUAUCUUAGCUACUGCUGGUCUCAUGAUACUUGCUACGAAAAGCAUAAUGUUGGUACCACUAUAUAUCAAAAUCACCCACAGUAACUGGGAAACAUCCAUAAUGUCUGGACAUUUUGCUUUCUUUUCAUGUGUGGGCAUAUUUACUCCUUGAUUUUCACAUGCUUGUUUCAAAUAUUCCCCACAUUUCUUUUUACUUAAUACACGUCAGGGUCCCUUAACUUGCCUGAUAUUUCACAGGGAAAUUGCUGUCUCUAUUCCUUCCCCUCAGUUGAGAACCAUUGAGAAAAGGUCAUCUACAUGAUGUGUCUCUGAGGCCUCACCUCCUGCUACCUCUGCAGACCACCCCACACUCCAUCUGUCCUCACCAUUCUAUGGCUGCUCGCCUGAUGCUCUGGCUGCUGGAAAGCUGAGAAUGAGA